rnacentral:misc_RNA from 1 species
AUGAAGAACGUAGUGAAAUGCGAUAAGUAAUGUGAAUUGCAGAAUUCAGUGAAUCAUCGAAUCUUUGAACGCACAUUGCGCCCGCCAGUAUUCUGGCGGGCAUGCCUGUCCGAGCGUCAUUUCAACCAUCAAGCCCCCGGGCUUGUGUUGGGGACCUGCGGCUGCCCGCAGGCCCUGAAAACCAGUGGCGGGCUCGCUGUCACACCGAGCGUAGUAGCAAUCACCUCGCUCAGGGCGUGCUGCGGGUUCCGGCCGUUAAACAGCCUUACAAAACCCAAGGUUGACCUCGGAUCAGGUAGGAAGACCCGCUGAACUUAAGCAUAUCAAUAAGCGGAGGA